UACCAUUUCCUUGUAGAGUCUUUGAUUUAGUGCACUGUGCACGGUGUAGGGCGCCUUGGCAUAUUGAAAACGGCAUGCUUCUGCUAGAACUGAACCGUGUUCUUAGACCUGGAGGAUAUUUUGUCUGGUCAGUGACGCCUGUCUACCAGAAUCUUCCGGAGGAUGUGAAAAUUUGGAAGGCGAUGUCGACCCUGACGAAAUCCAUUUGUUGGGAACUUGUGACCAUCAAAAAGGACAAAUUGAAUUACAUCGUUGCCGCCAUCUAUCGCAAACCGACCUCAAAUGAAUGCUUAUGACAAAAGGCCGGAGUAAUCCACCAAUGUGCGAUGAAAAUGAUGAUGCAAAUGCUGUCUGGCAUGUACCCCUGCAGGCAUGCAUGCACCAUGUGCCGGUAAAUCAGGCCGAAAGAGGAGCACGAUGGCCUGCGAACUGGCCUAAUCGGCUGCAGAAAGCUCCUUACUGGUUGAACCGAUCCCAGAUGGGGAUUCACGGAAAACCGGCUCCUCAAGACUUUGCAAAAGACUAUGAACACUGGACUCGAGUAGUGAGCAAGUUG